rnacentral:rRNA from 1 species
UACGGGGGGGGCAAGCGUUGUUCGGAAUUACUGGGCGUAAAGGGCUCGUAGGUGGCCAACUAAGUCAGACGUGAAAUCCCUCAGCUUAACUGGGGAACUGCGUCUGAUACUGGAUGGCUUGAGUUUGGGAGAGGGAUGCGGAAUUCCAGGUGUAGCGGUGAAAUGCGUAGAUAUCUGGAGGAACACCGGUGGCGAAGGCGGCCUUCUGGACAGUGACUGACGCUGAGACGCGAAAGCGUGGGGAGCAAACAGG